UUCCCAUAGUGACAACAGAUAGAAGGCCAAACAUUCAUGACAUGUCAAUUGAUGAAUCAAGCAUAUCCCAGUUGACCAUCGAACAGCUUAGCCAAAUUGAAAGAAAAUUGGAGUAUGCACUAAGGAGGGCAAAGACCAGGAAGUUGGAAGCGUAUAGGAUCGCCACACUACAGGAGAAGGUGA